rnacentral:rRNA from 1 species
GAGUUUGAUCCUGGCUCAGAACGAACGCUGGCGGCGUGCUUAACACAUGCAAGUCGAACGUGAUUGAGAGCUUGCUCUCAUGAAAGUGGCGCACGGGUGAGUAACACGUGGAUAAUCUGCCUGGCGAUUCGGGAUAACACUUCGAAAGGGGUGCUAAUACCGGAUGAGCCCACAGUCCCUUCGGAGAGUGCGGGAAAAGGGGGCCUCUGUAUAUGCUCCUGUCGCUAGAUGAGUCCGCGGCCCAUUAGCUAGUUGGUAGGGUAAUGGCCUACCAAGGCGACGAUGGGUAGCUGGUCUGAGAGGAUGAUCAGCCACACUGGAACUGAGACACGGUCCAGACUCCUACGGGAGGCAGCAGUGGGGAAUUUUGCGCAAUGGGGGAAACCCUGACGCAGCAACGCCGCGUGAGUGAUGAAGGCCUUCGGGUCGUAAAGCUCUGUCAGUGGGGAAGAACCGCCGGGUGGUUAAUACCUGCCUGGUCUGACGGUACCCACAAAGGAAGCACCGGCUAACUCCGUGCCAGCAGCCGCGGUAAUAC